GCAAGUCGAACGAUGAAACCGCUUCGGUGGUGGAUUAGUGGCGAACGGGUGAGUAACACGUGGGCAAUCUGCCCUUCACUCUGGGACAAGCCCUGGAAACGGGGUCUAAUACCGGAUAAUACUCCUGCCCGCAUGGGUGGGGGUUGAAAGCUCCGGCGGUGAAGGAUGAGCCCGCGGCCUAUCAGCUUGUUGGUGGGGUAAUGGCCUACCAAGGCGACGACGGGUAGCCGGCCUGAGAGGGCGACCGGCCACACUGGGACUGAGACACGGCCCAGACUCCUACGGGAGGCAGCAGUGGGGAAUAUUGCACAAUGGGCGAAAGCCUGAUGCAGCGACGCCGCGUGAGGGAUGACGGCCUUCGGGUUGUAAACCUCUUUCAGCAGGGAAGAAGCGCAAGUGACGGUACCUGCAGAAGAAGCGCCGGCUAACUACGUGCCAGCAGCCGCGGUAAUACGUAGGGCGCAAGCGUUGUCCGGAAUUAUUGGGCGUAAAGAGCUCGUAGGCGGCUUGUCACGUCGGAUGUGAAAGCCCGGGGCUUAACCCCGGGUCUGCAUUCGAUACGGGCUAGCUAGAGUGUGGUAGGGGAGAUCGGAAUUCCUGGUGUAGCGGUGAAAUGCGCAGAUAUCAGGAGGAACACCGGUGGCGAAGGCGGAUCUCUGGGCCAUUACUGACGCUGAGGAGCGAAAGCGUGGGGAGCGAACAGGAUUAGAUACCCUGGUAGUCCACGCCGUAAACGUUGGGAACUAGGUGUUGGCGACAUUCCACGUCGUCGGUGCCGCAGC
rnacentral:rRNA from 1 species